rnacentral:rRNA from 1 species
UACGUAGGGUGCAAGCGUUGUCCGGAAUUAUUGGGCGUAAAGGGCGCGUAGGCGGUUUGUUAAGUCAGCUGUGAAAGCCCGGGGCUCAACCCCGGAGAGUCGACUGAUACUGGCAGACUAGAGUACGGAAGAGGUAGCUGGAAUUCCCGGUGUAGCGGUGAAAUGCGCAGAUAUCGGGAGGAACACCAAUGGCGAAGGCAGCUCGCUGGGACGGUACUGACGCUGAGACGCGAAAGCGUGGGGAGCAAACAGG